rnacentral:rRNA from 1 species
AACGAACGCUGGCGGCAUGCCUAACACAUGCAAGUCGAACGAGACCUUCGGGUCUAGUGGCGCACGGGUGCGUAACGCGUGGGAACCUGCCCUUAGGUUCGGAAUAACUCCCCGAAAGGGGUGCUAAUACCGGAUAAUGUCUUCGGACCAAAGAUUUAUCGCCUUAGGAUGGGCCCGCGUUGGAUUAGCUAGUUGGUAGGGUAAAAGCCUACCAAGGCGACGAUCCAUAGCUGGUCUGAGAGGAUGAUCAGCCACACUGGGACUGAGACACGGCCCAGACUCCUACGGGAGGCAGCAGUGGGGAAUAUUGGACAAUGGGCGAAAGCCUGAUCCAGCAAUGCCGCGUGAGUGAUGAAGGCCUUAGGGUUGUAAAGCUCUUUUACCCGGGAUGAUAAUGACAGUACCGGGAGAAUAAGCGCCGGCUAACUCCGUG